AUUGAACGCUGGCGGCAGGCCUAACACAUGCAAGUCGAACGAGUGGCGGACGGGUGAGUAAUGUCUGGGAAACUGCCCGAUGGAGGGGGAUAACUACUGGAAACGGUAGCUAAUACCGCAUACCAUCGGAUGUGCCCAGAUGGGAUUAGCUAGUUGGUGGGGUAACGGCUCACCUAGGCGACGAUCCCUAGCUGGUCUGAGAGGAUGACCAUCCACACUGGAACUGAGACACGGUCCCGACUCCUACGGGAGGCAGCAGUGGGGAAUAUUGCCCAAUGGGCGCAAGCCUGAUUCAGCCAUGCCGCGUGUAUGAAGAAGGCCUUCGGGUUGUAAAGUACUUUCAGCGGGGAGGCGUUACUCGCAGAAGAAGCACCGGCUAACUCCGUGCCAGCAGCCGCGGUAAUUC
rnacentral:rRNA from 1 species